CCAAUGAGCCAACAGGGAAGCUUUAGGUUUAUUAAAUGUUGCUAUGAAGGUAUCGCUGUUUUUCUUUGUGAAUGCAAUGUGCUCCAACUGAAACUUGAAUUAGAACUUAGAAGUAAAUCCUUCCAUCUGAAAAGAUUUAGUUGCAUUAAUAACCUCAUAACAUUCUAAUUUUUAUUCCAAUCUUGGUUGGAAAUAGAAUCUCUGUAUUGAUUCAGGUAAAAACUGAACUUCACAGCAUGUUGGAGCAAAACAACCAGAUGAAAACUGUGAUGGUGUUGGAUUGUCAGACUGUAAUGUUGCAGCUCAAAGCAGCUUUUCCAGCUCAGUUCAUUCUGACAUUCAGCUAUGAAUCAACACAGCAGAUGGUGAUUCAUGCUGUGGAAGUCUCACAUCUCCUGAUUUAAUGGAGCUGCUUUGCACUGUUUACACUGUUUAUUCACCAACACUUUAUUUAUUAAAAGCCCCAUCUAGUUUUUAUGAGGAAUGUGAUAUUUUAAUUUCUCUGUGAAUAAUUGCAGUCUAAUGGAACAGUUGGAUUUGUAAAAUCUGUCCUGAUAUUGAUCAUGAAAUAUUGAUCAGAAUACUUAUGGUUAACAGUCAUCCCUGAAGUUUUACAUUAAAAUCUUUACUUGUGUUGUGAACUUUGCUAAGAAGCAGAAAUUUAUACAUGAGUGUUAAAUUCUGUCCAUGUUUCCAUUUUGGGAAAUGCAGUCCAGCAGAUGAGUUUGUUUUUACAGACAGCUACCGUUCAGUCUGAGAUAUUAAGAAUAAACAAAUGUGCAUAAUGUGGAAAUGAACAGAUUUUAUUUUUAUUUAUUCCUACAGCUGCUGUAGGUAAAAUUCCAGAAUGUGGAGGAAUUUAGUCUCUCAAUCACAGACAAUAUUAUCUGAAAGUCGGGUUAUUGUUGUUUAUCAGCACAAUACAAAAAGAUUCAUGUUAGACAUAUUCCAGUUAAGACUCUAGAAUAUCAAGAUUUAUGUAAAUUUAUCUCAAUAAUAUAAAUGUUCAGGUUAAGAUUGUGCAAUGAUAUUUAUUAUGUAAUUUUAGCUGAUUAAAGUUUAUGGUUCUGCACUACAAUAUUAUUUAUUAUUUAAAUUGACAUCAUUAUUAUAAUAUUUAGGGUCAGACCCUACAGUAUUGAGAUUAAGAAAUCAAAUCUUCUAUAAAAUGUAAAUACACUGAACUCAUUUGGAUAUAUUUAAGUGAGACUCUACAAUAUUAUUUGACACAAAUCUAUCUAAAUCAACAUUUUGAUAAUUUUUACUCCAAACAUUUACUGGACUGAUUUAAAUAUUAAAAUCACUCCUUUCUAAUCCUCUGCUGUUUGUUCAAACCUGAGGUCUUAAAUAGAAACACGCAAGUAUCUGUUUGAAGGAACUUCUGCAGAAUCCUGGUUCCAGAACAUGAUAGAAUUAUAGACAAACUUUAACAAAAGCUGCCUGAGAGUUUACAGGUUUUUAUGUUAGAUUUCUUCAGUAAUUUAAUGAGCGUUAUCAGCAAAAAUCAAGUGUUCAUUUGAUGAACUUCAUUUCCUAAAACAUCCAGAAUUGGAGCUCAUAUCUUUGGCAGCUGUAAAGUUUCUGCUCCUUCAAAGUUCACAACACAAUGAAUUAAUUCCUAAAACACUCUCAAUGCUGGAGAGCAUUUGUGAUGCUGAAGCAGUGACCAGUUUUUCUGUUUCUUCUCUGGAGAUGCACGAGGGACGUCUGCAGAGACUGAGAAAGAGUCUCACCACAUCCUGACAUGAGGAAAAAGACUUUAUUGAAGACUACAAUGAGAAAAACUAUCCAGACAGCAGACGUCAUGCAUUCAAGACUGUAGCUGCUGAAUUCAUGGAUGAAUCAUCUGGCACUAGAAAGGAAGACCAUCAAACAUCCACAUCAGCUGAUGGAGGUCCAAGAGUCUCACCGAACAAACAACCUACAGAGUGAAGACCUCGAAUCUGAUUGGACGGCCUCCUAUUCAGCCACGUGUGAACAAAUGCCUCUAAGUUGAUUUGUUUUCUAAAAUAAAUCUAGUUUGAGUCCU
ensembl:lncRNA